rnacentral:rRNA from 1 species
GACGAACGCUGGCGGCGUGCUUAACACAUGCAAGUCGAACGCUGAAGCUCAGCUUGCUGGGUGGAUGAGUGGCGAACGGGUGAGUAACACGUGAGUACCCUGCCCUCUUCUUUGGGAUAACGCCCGGAAACGGGUGCUAAUACUGGAUAUUCACUGAUUCUCGCAUGGGGGUUGGUGGAAAGGUUUUUUCUGGUGGGGGAUGGGCUCGCGGCCUAUCAGCUUGUUGGUGGGGUGAUGGCCUACCAAGGCUUUGACGGGUAGCCGGCCUGAGAGGGUGACCGGUCACAUUGGGACUGAGAUACGGCCCAGACUCCUACGGGAGGCAGCAGUGGGGAAUAGUGCACAAUGGGCGAAAGCCUGAUGCAGCGGCGCCGCGUGAGGGAUGGAGGCCUUCGGGUUGUAAACCUCUUUCGCUCAUGGUCAAGCCGCAGCUUUGGGUUGUGGUGAGGGUAGUGGGUAAAGAAGCGCCGGCUAACUACGUG